UCAUUAUUUAGAUAUUUUUUUUAGGUGCACGGACUUUUCCUUCUUGGUGGGGAGGAUUCUCACAAGGCGGUAUUCGCAAUGCUUAAUAAAUUAAUUACUAAAGAUCUGGCCCUUAAAUAUUCCGGCUGUGGAAAACAAAAGAAGUUGGCAUUUUUUUCGUUGAAAAGCAUUUUUGAUGCAAUAAGUGCCGCAUUGCGUAAGAGAUUUCCCUCUGUGCUGGACACCGACAUUAAAAAAUCAAUUGGUGUAUAUUUGGCAUCAGCCAAAUCCAGGUUGAAUAAGAAUUAAUAUGUAAUAUUAAUAUGUAAUAUUUUUGUUUUGUUUUUUGUUUUAAUAUUUAUUUGUUUUGUAAUACUUUAAGAAGUUUACAUACUGGGUGAGUCAUUGAUAUAGGCGUGCUCGAUUACACCUACACUGUCAAUGAUAUCGAAAUGAGUCAAAAGGCACUGCACAUGGUAGGCGAAAGUGCAUCUUCUAAAAUUAUUUUGCUCUAUACAGGGUCUUCCAUUUUUACAGUGCAGCGUAUAACAUAGUUUUUUUUUUAAUGGCACUCUGUAUAUUUGUACAUAUUUCAAUUUGCAAUUCUUUAAGCUUUAAAAACCCGUUUAGUUUUUUCAAUUUACUUUAACUAUCCAGAAGGUAUUUAUUUUUUUUCUACAAUUGCCUGCAGACGCACUAAAUUGUAGAAAACAUUAAAUAACUUCUGAACAGUUAAAGCAAAUUGAAAAAACUAAACGGAUUUUUAAAGCCUAAAAAAGUGCAAAUUGAAAUAUGUAAAAACAUACAGGGGGUGCCAUUUAAAAAAACUAUGUUAUAGGCUGCACUGUACAAAUGGAGCACCCUGUUUAGAGCAAAAUACUUUUAUAAAAUGCACUUUGACCUCCCAAUUGCAGUGCCCUUUGACUCAUUUCGAUAUCAUUGACGGUGUAGGUCUUAUCAAGCAUGCCUAGAUGAAGGACUUACCCAGUAUAUUUUUGAAUUGUUUAUUUUUAGUUUACAAAACUGUAAUAAACAUAAUAUACAGUUUAGCAUU